rnacentral:rRNA from 1 species
AGAGUUUGAUCCUGGCUCAGGAUGAACGCUGGCGGCGUGCCUAACACAUGCAAGUCGAACGAAGAGGCUCCUUCGGGAGUACUUCAGUGGCGGACGGGUGAGUAACACGUAGGUGACCUGCCCCGAAGCAGGGGAUAACGGCUCGAAAGGGCCGCUAAUACCCAAAAGGAUCGCGAGUCGCAUCGCGAUCAGAGUUACGACGUUUCGGGAGGGGCCUGCGGCCCAUCAGCUAGUUGGUAGGGUAAUGGCCUACCAAGGCGACGACGGGUAGGGGGCCUGAGAGGGUGAUCCCCCACAUUGGCACUGACACACGGGCCAAACUCCUACGGGAGGCAGCAGUGAGGAAUAUUGCACAAUGAGCGAAAGCUAGAUGCAGCAACGCCGCGUGGACGAUGAAGGCCUUCGGGUCGUAAAGUCCUUUUCAGGGGGAAGAGUGAGGACGGUACCCCUGGAAUAAGUCACGGCUAACUACGUGCCAGCAGCCGCGGUAAAACGUAGGUGGCGAGCGUUAUCCGGAUUCACUGGGCGUAAAGCGCCUGCAGGCGGUCUUGUAAGUGGGGUGUUAAAUCUCCCGGCUUAACUGGGAGGGGUCAUUCCAUACUGCGAGACUGGAGGGCAGAAGAGGGAAGCGGAAUUCCCGGUGUAGUGGUGAAAUGCGUAGAUAUCGGGAGGAACACCAGUGGCGAAGGCGGCUUCCUGGCCUGCUCCUGACGCUAAGAGGCGAAAGCUAGGGUAGCGAACGGGAUUAGAAACCCCGGUAGUCCUAGCCGUAAACGAUGGAUGCUAGGUGUAGGUGGUCCUAACCCCAUCUGUGCCGAAGCUAACGCGUUAAGCAUCCCGCCUGGGGACUACGGCCGCAAGGUUAAAACUCAAAGGAAUUGACGG